GCUCUCUCUGUGAACUCCUGAAAACAUUUCUUAAAACCUUUCUCGUGAAUUCAGACCAUGAAAUAAAACGGGAGUGUGUGUGUGUGAGUGUGUGUGUGUAUA